AUGUUAAACAACAUGAAGAUUAUGUUCUGGAAUGUGUGUGGCCUGAACUGCUGCGCCAGGUGUACUACCGUCCGUAGCAUGGUUUCCUCCGCUGCGCUGUCCAUCAUCUGCCUCCAAGAAACCAAACUCUCCCUGGUAUCGCCUGACGUUGUUGCCCAGACUCUGGGCCCUGAGUUCGCCGAUUACUACUGGCUGCCUGCGGAUGGUACGCGAGGCAGCAUCAUCCUUGCUUGGCGAGGGGAUCACGUCUCCCUUUCUAACCGUGCCGUUGGCACUUACCACGUCUCCUCCACUAUGAUGCUUGCCUCGGGCGGCCCCCCUUGCUGGAUCACAGGCGUCUAUGGGCCAUAG
rnacentral:rRNA from 1 species